rnacentral:sRNA from 1 species
UAAUAAAAAAUAGAUGAUACAGUAUCCUAGUCCGAUCAUCAGGCUACCAGGGUGGGCCUAAAAAUCCACCGAAGGGCACAUCUGUGAAACUUCUUGUGCUUGCUUCUUACGCCCAGUCUGGGGUGAGUGCUGGAAGGAAGUUCUUUUACCCUCAAGUAUCUGGACUUGGGACUGCCGGGCGCCCGCAACGGCAUGCGCAAGCGAUCCCGUCGUCUUUGGAGACCUGCUCUCGUGGCUUGCAAUAUAUAAAAAGUUACGGUUCAGGAUUAAACCUGCAAGGCGGUUCGUUUCAGGAAAAAACCGAAAACGUGCUGUAUGCAGUCGUAGCCUGUCUUGAGUGGACCCGGCGGAUUGCGGCCGGACUGUGGACCAUGGCCGUGGACCAUAGUCUUUUGCGUUUGAAACCGGAGCUGCAAAAGAGACUAAGAGCUUUGUUGAUCAGGUUAAGGAAAACUUCUAGGCUGAGAAAUAUAUUUCUGCAUUCAAAGGAUUGCAGUACGUGCUGAGUGGCAAUCAAGUCGUAUAUGCGGCAACGCUGUACCUCGAGCUUUAAAGGGAAACCUCCUUUGCGGCGACGGAAGGAAGCUCCCGGGGAAACCUACUUGACCUAAGACGUAAGAUUUACUUUGAAUGUUAUCAUCACUUUUUU